rnacentral:rRNA from 1 species
CCUACGGGAGGCAGCAGUGGGGAAUAUUGCACAAUGGGCGAAAGCGUGACGCAGCAACGCCGCGUGGAGGAAGACGGUCUUCGGAUUGUAAACUCCUUUCAGUUGGGACGAAGCUCAAGGGGUUAAUAGCCUCGUGGAGUGACGGUACCUUCAGAAGAAGCCCCGGCUAACUACGUGCCAGCAGCCGCGGUAAUACGUAGGGGGCUAGCGUUGUCCGGAAUCAUUGGGCGUAAAGCGCGUGUAGGCGGUCUGGUAAGUCCGCUGUGAAAGUCGGGGGCUCAACCCUCGAAUGCCGGUGGAUACUGUCGGGCUAGAGUGCGGAAGAGGCGAGUGGAAUUCCUGGUGUAGCGGUGAAAUGCGCAGAUAUCAGGAGGAACACCAAUUGCGAAGGCAGCUCGCUGGGACGUUACUGACGCUGAGACGCGAAAGCGUGGGGAGCAAACAGGAUUAGAUACCCUGGUAGUCCACGCUGUAAACGAUGGGCACUAGGUGUGGGGGGUGUCGACUCCCUCUGUGCCGAAGCUAACGCAUUAAGUGCCCCGCCUGGGGAGUACGGCCGCAAGGCUAAAACUCAAAGGAAUUGACGG